rnacentral:tRNA from 1 species
GCAGGUGAUGAGCUCAGGGGUAGAGCACUUGCCUAGCAUGCAUGAAGUCCUGUGUUCAAUUCCUAGUACCUACC